rnacentral:lncRNA from 1 species
ACCAGGCAGAGGAAGAGAAGUGUCUUUCAAUUCUAAGACAUGUUUUUCUGCUUAUGUCAAGAUACCAACUUGUGGUACAUAUCCAUUUUAUUGGGUGUUCUUGUUGGGCAAGAAGUCUUGUGGGAAAAUGGAAAGAGAGGAGUAUAAACAACUCUAAAGGUAAUUCAAGUCUAAUAUGAGUAAGAUAUUGUUUUUGUAUAAUUUAUUUUGUAUUAAACAGAGUUUUUUGUGUGUGUGUAUGUGUCUUUUGAAAG